ACUGAUUUCCCUUGCCCUCUAGGAAUAUUGGACUUUAUUGAAGGGAAAGACUGCCCUCCCUGCUCCCUGUUCUUCUGCCUGGCGGAGAAGUGGCCCGACCCAGACAACAAGCCUUGGGAGAAGAAACUUAUCACUGUGGAAGUGGUUCUGACUUCACUGGAGUUGCUGAAGAAUAUGGCUGUUGUAGGCGGCGCCUCCUCCCUGCAGUCUGUGGAGCUGCAGAUGUCACUUGAGGAGAUGAUGGAGACGUACUGACGCACUUUGCUGUGCCUGAAGAGAUUCAUUGUUUACCGCAUUUUUUGCUUAAUCCUUAAUCUUGAUGACAAGGUAGAGCAUCUCAGAAAAAAUCGUGUGGAUGUUUUCUGAACAUUUUGGAUAUUUAUUCUACACUAAAUAGAUCAGGUGAUAAUAAUGGUAUUAAUAGUUGCUCUGGUGUUGGAUUUUCUGGUUCUGCAUAAAGGAACAAAGAAAAUAUAUUUAAGGUGCAACUUGCACCAUGUUUAAACAAUAUGUGCUUUUAAAUUAUUUCCACGUUGAUAUUUUUAUAUAAAAUAAUGAGACUAUGAUCAGGGUGAUUUUACUGAAUAUUUCUUUUAUAUUAUUGUUGCUAGCAGGGUAUAUACAGGAAUCUUGAAGUAAAAUUCAAUACCUUUUUAAGACCUUUUCAAGACUUUUUCAACACUCCCGACUAUGUUUUGGACGAUUAACAUUGCGGGUCCGGCGGGGUGGGAGAUUACGGUAUUUUUUGGAGCUUUUAAGAGUGAAAUAGGCGCACGGAAGAUCGCUGCACCUAACGUUACAGAAACGAAUCACACAGUCGCUACUCUGCCUGUCUAGUAUUUUUGGCUAUGCAUUAUAAAUAGUACGUUCAUCUACACUUUUAGCAAACAAACUUUUGGACAAACAGGAUUUUCACAUUGAAAAAAAUAUCUUCAAAUUUUAAUACCUUGUUAAAUGGCGAUUAAGACUUUUUAAUACUUUUUAAUGGCCUUAAUUUUCGUAAAAUUGAUUGAGAUAACUGGAUUGUAACGUUACUUGCACUUUACUGCACAUGUCACAUUCACCCCAUCCAUACACUGAUGGCAGAGGCUACCAUGCAAGGUGCCAACUGCACAUCAGACAGAAAUUAAUACAUUCACAUACAUUCAUACAUUGCACAGCCUUCAGGAGCAAUUUUAGGGUUCAGUAUCUUUCCCAUGGUCACCGCGGCACACAGACUGGAGGAGCCGGGGUUCGAACCACUGACCUUCUGAUCAGUGGACAUGCUGCUUUUCUGUUCAAAUAAAUAAAAGAGCUGUCACUCAGCACAAGAGGUAAACAGUAACUCCUUUCACUCAUUCUACAUUCCACCCUUUACGCAUUUGUGUUGAAAUAAGUGCACUCCAGUUUUAUGCUAUAAAGUAAAAGAUUUCCCUGAAAAAUAUCCAGAUGAUGUGCAGCAAUGUGCAGUGUCAUCCAGAAUCUGUCACUCGUCCUGGUCAUGAUCUUAUUUAUAUAUAAAAGUGGUAAUUAUCUGGAUAAAUCCCCACAUGCAGUAACAUGUAUUUCCAGUUAAAAAGUACAGUCUUUGUUCCCUAAAGAUCCUCUCAUCAAAACUGAAAAAUACUGUGGUACAGUGAAUGUACUGUAACUCUGCUGAAUAUACACCUGAGCACAAUCUGAGAGAGUUAUGUAGCGCAACACACCAGAGACUGUACAGGGGAAAGUAAAUAUGCUGUGCAGAUGUUUAUUUCAUCUUGCUGUAUUUCAGGGUCACAGCUAACCAAUGCAAUGUACGAGACUUAAACUAUACAUCAAAAUACACGUGUAUAAGUACAAACAGUAAGAUUUCAAGACUGUAUUAAAAUAUUGGAGGAUAUUA